rnacentral:rRNA from 1 species
UACCCGCUGAACUUAAGCAUAUCAGUAGAACGGAAGGAA